AUUGAACGCUGGCGGCAUGCUUUACACAUGCAAGUCGGACGGCAGCAUAAAAGAGCUUGCUCUUUUGAUGGCGAGUGGCGAACGGGUGAGUAAUGCAUCGGAACGUACCGAGUAGUGGGGGAUAACUGUCCGAAAGGAUGGCUAAUACCGCAUAUUCUCUGAGGAGGAAAGCAGGGGACCUUAGGGCCUUGCGCUAUUUGAGCGGCCGAUGUCUGAUUAGCUAGUUGGUGGGGUAAGAGCCCACCAAGGCGACGAUCAGUAGCGGGUCUGAGAGGAUGAUCCGCCACACUGGGACUGAGACACGGCCCAGACUCCUACGGGAGGCAGCAGUGGGGAAUUUUGGACAAUGGGCGCAAGCCUGAUCCAGCCAUGCCGCGUGUAUGAAGAAGGCCUUCGGGUUGUAAAGUACUUUUGUCAGGGAAGAAAAGCCUGAGGAUAACACCCUCAGGUCAUGACGGUACCUGAAGAAUAAGCACCGGCUAACUACGUGCCAGCAGCCGCGGUAAUACGUAGGGUGCGAGCGUUAAUCGGAAUUACUGGGCGUAAAGCGAGCGCAGACGGUUAUUUAAGCAAGAUGUGAAAGCCCCGGGCUCAACCUGGGAACUGCGUUUUGAACUGGGUAACUAGAGUGUGUCAGAGGGGGGUAGAAUUCCACGUGUAGCAGUGAAAUGCGUAGAGAUGUGGAGGAAUACCGAUGGCGAAGGCAGCCCCCUGGGAUAACACUGACGUCCAUGCUCGAAAGCGUGGGUAGCAAACAGG
rnacentral:rRNA from 1 species